GACGAACGCUGGCGGCGUGCUUAACACAUGCAAGUCGAACGGAAAGGCCCUGCUUUUGUGGGGUGCUCGAGUGGCGAACGGGUGAGUAACACGUGAGUAACCUGCCCUUGACUUUGGGAUAACUUCAGGAAACUGGGGCUAAUACCGGAUAGGAGCUCCUGCUGCAUGGUGGGGGUUGGAAAGUUUCGGCGGUUGGGGAUGGACUCGCGGCUUAUCAGCUUGUUGGUGGGGUAGUGGCUUACCAAGGCUUUGACGGGUAGCCGGCCUGAGAGGGUGACCGGCCACAUUGGGACUGAGAGACGGCCCAGACUCCUACGGUAGGCAGAAGUGGGGAAUAUUGCACAAUGGGCGGAAGCCUGAUGCAGCAACGCCGCGUGCGGGAUGACGGCCUUCGGGUUGUAAACCGCUUUCGCCUGUGACGAAGCGUGAGUGACGGUAAUGGGUAAAGAAGCACCGGCUAACUACGUG
rnacentral:rRNA from 1 species